UACGUAGGGUGCGAGCGUUGUCCGGAAUUACUGGGCGUAAAGAGCUCGUAGGCGGUUUGUCGCGUUGUUCGUGAAAUCUCACGGCUUAACUGUGAGCGUGCGGGCGAUACGGGCAGACUGGAGUACUGCAGGGGAGACUGGAAUUCCUGGUGUAGCGGUGGAAUGCGCAGAUAUCAGGAGGAACACCGGUGGCUAAGGCGGCUCUCUAGUACGGUACUGACGCUGAGACGCGAAAGCGUGGGGAGCGAACAGG
rnacentral:rRNA from 1 species